rfam:Erwinia tracheiphila strain BuffGH Etrach_2, whole genome shotgun sequence.
GGGUGCUUGAGGCUUUCUGGUCUCAGGCGAAAGCAGGAGUUCAGAAAGACGAAAGCCCCGAUUGACGUUUAAAUCAACCGAGGCCAACGCAUGAAUCCCACAAUUCAGAUGUUAGCCUCUUACCAGCCGAAAGGCAAGGAGCUAACCAUGAAA